rnacentral:lncRNA from 1 species
UGAAAAAAAAAAUGCAGUAAGUAAAGCUGAUUUAUCAAGGUUGGAGAAAUGCAAUAAAGAAAGAGGUUAAUUCACAGAGCCAGCUGAAUAGAAUACCAGAGUUUUAUUUCUACACAAAUCAGUCUCCCAGGCAUUAAAUUGAAGCCAAGGGACUGAAAUAAGAAACUCCAGAGAACAACAAGAGGAAUUGAAAUUGCAUGGUCAUUAGAAG